rnacentral:rRNA from 1 species
AGAGAGAGACAUGCGCGCAUAUCAAUAAGCGGAGGAAAAGAAACUAACAAGGAUUCCCCUAGUAACGGCGAGUGAAGCGGGAAGAGCUCAAAUUUGAAAUCUUAAAGGGUUUCCCUUUACGAAUUGUAGUUUAAAGAAGUGUUUUCUGUUGGAGCUUCGGUAAAAGUUCUUUGGAAUAGGACAUCAUAGAGGGUGAGAAUCCCGUAUUUGACCGUUACUUUCCAGCUGUGUGAUACACUUUCAAAGAGUCGGAUUGUUUGGGAAUGCAGUCCAAGAUGGGUGGUAAAUUUCAUCUAAAGCUAAAUAUUGGCGAGAGACCGAUAGCGAACAAGUACCGUGAGGGAAAGAUGAAAAGAACUUUGAAAAGAGAGUUAAACAGUACGUGAAAUUGUCAAAAGGGAAGCGUUUGACACCAGUGUUGUUUUUCCGAAAAUCAAUUACGAAUGUUUUAUUUUUGAGGAGUUAUGACUUCAUCGGCUUGCUCCUUUCUUUAUGAAACUUUCUUAAUGCACUUUUCGGUUAACAAGUCAACAUCAAUUUCUUUUGUUGUAAAAGGGUAUGAGGAAGGUGGCUUUCUUUUCGGAGAAAGUGUUUAUAGCCUUGUACCUCUGCAAUCGGAGAGAUUGAGGUCUGCAGCGUAGAUCCUUCGGGGUUAGAUACGUUUGUGCUAAGUUAUAGCUUUACAUAGACAACUUGUUGACUAUGUUUAGUCUUGUAGCUUACUCGCUGACGCUAUUUUACCUACGCUUAGGAUGUUGAUAGUCACAGCGUGUAC